rnacentral:lncRNA from 1 species
GAGAGCGAGAUUGAGGAAGAGGAGGGAGAGAGUUUUGGCGUCGGCCGCCCUUGGGUGCUGGGCCCCAACAGUGGGCCGCCGCCCGCCUGAGCAGUGUCGGGUCCGGCCCCGCUUGGCCAGGCCUGCACCCGGCCUGCUGGUCUCCGGGUCUCCCCACCCCGGCACCCUCCGAAUGUGGAUGCCCCAAAGCAGUGAGCGCCCCUGUGGGCAAGGGUCAGCACGGAUGCGAGAGUCCCUGGUUGCUGUGGGUGCAUGCUUAAGGAGCAGGUGGGGGAAAGGAGUGAUGAGAGAGUCACCCUCCCCUUGGCGACAUUAGCUCAGCUGCCCAGAAAGCCUGGGUGAGGGGGGGCCCCGACUGGGGGUGCUGAGCUUGCUAAGUGGGGGUGCUGAGCUGGCUAAGGGGGCACAUUACUUAGAGACCGUGGGCUUGAGGGCUAUGGUGGGGCAUGCUUGAGUCAGGGGACUUGGAGACACGUAGCAGGGGCUUCAGGACUGCAGUCUCUAGGGACAGGACAGGCCCCAGGGGCUGGGGGCUGGAAGUUCCCCGUGAAGAGGGCUCCAGGCCUCCCUUGCUGCAGGCCCGGGAGAGGUGGGCUCCGUAGAGCAGAGAAGCUGUUCCCAUGGAGCUGGGCUGCGGCUGAGGCUGCCUGGUCACACCCAGCCAAGGCCAAGCCUGGGCCGUUAGCUGGCGACCCAGGCAGCUGCCAAGCACUGCUGGCUGCAGGCAGGCAGGGCCACUGAGCACAGCUCUGGGACCCACCAUCCAUCGUCUGUCUGUCACGUGCAGCCACAGCUGAACUGCCCUCCUAGACCAUCUGGAGGCCACCAAGGACUGGGGAAGGACAUUCAAUGUGCCAGAGAGGAGUUAGGGGGAGGGGGGUGGGGCAGCAGGGACCAGCUGGGGCCCACUCCUGCCCUGGUCUCUCCACCAAACACGGGGUCAGACCUGGGUGCCCCCGGGUGUUCCCAAUGGUUCCCUGCUCUGGGAACUGCCAGUCCAGCAGGGAGAGCCUGCACCCAGGCGGGGGCCACCAGUGAGCAGUGAGUGGCCGAAGGAAGCCCAGCGGGGCAGCGUGGAGGUGCACCUUCUCUGAGGCCGUGACAAGCUGAAUUUUCCCACAAAGGAAACAGGGCAGAGGGGUCCAGGUGGGGGCCCUGGCCUGCCCUCGGGCGUCUGUCUCCAGGUCUGCCUAGGGCUUUGCUACGCAUAGUAGGUGCUCCUUGAGUGUGUGUUGAAACCAGCGAAAGAUUAGUCCAUCGCGCCUGCAGCAUCCCCCUCCUCCUGCGGGGCCCUCCCCAGGGCCCUGAUCUGAGGGCUGAAGAAGGGACGGCCUGGGUGUCCUGGGUCCUGAGAAAGGACCCCGAAAGAAGGAGGCCUGGGAGGGGGCUGGGCAGCCGCCUGGGGGAGGGGAGGCGCUGGGGGGGGGGAGAGAGCAGCAGGAGGAGGAAAAGAGGAAGUGAGGCGGCCAGAGGAAGAGGGAGGAGACCACGGGAGAGGAAGUGAACAGGUUCUCGGCUGGCCGGGAACUUUGCCCUCGCAGGCAGGGAGUUUUCAGAGCCGCCCGGGCAGGCGCACAGCCCCGGCCCCCCGGCCGCCCCCGCCCGUGGGGACCGUUCUUGCCUUUCCGGGGCUUUUUUCUUCUCUGCGGUCCCCUGCCCGCGAGGCCCCCAGGCGAGGGGACAUUUACAACCCACGCCAGAGACCAAGCCCGCCUCCUCCAGCCCAGGCCGCCCCGCUGGCUGCCCGGCUCUGGCCUGGGGGCCCCGCCGCUGCCCGCCCCUGCGGGGACCCCAAGGCACAUUUUUCAGAGGGAGACACUGAGCUGGGACCCAAAAGGGGGGGAGACCUCCCGCCGAGACCGCCGGCUCCGGGAGAGACCCUGCCAACAGUCCAGCAAACACGGCCCUUGUUACAGAUGCGGACACUGAGGCCGGGCUGGAAAAGGGCCCAGGGCACGGAGUCCCCUGUCGGGGGUUCGAGGUGCAGGGCCUGGAGGCCCCUCCCUGGGUAAAGUGUCCCCCUGCAGUGUCCCCAGGGACUGGGGCCAAAGGCUGUUCCAAAGUCUGAAUUCCUGGGUCCUUCCUUCUCAGUGCUUAUCUCCUAAGGCCCAGAGAGGCAGCCACUAGCCUCCGGUCACACCACCAGCGUCCUGAGGCUCCGAGCCUGCUCGCCCCGCCACCUCUUUCCUCGCCCGUCCUCGCCUGCUCCCAGAUGGUCUCCAGAGGAGAGUCUGGACCUCGGAAUUUACUGGACUUGGGGUUCCUCUGCCUCCUGCCCCACUUUGCCUCAACCUUCAGGGCCAGCUCUCGGGCUGCCCGCUCCAGGAAGCCUGCCAGGACUUGCUCCCCCCACCAGAACAGCUGUCACCUUCCUGCCCAGAGAGGGGAAGUGACCCAGCCAGGAUCACUCAGCAAGGGCACAGGCAGGAGCUCAACCUCCUGGAUCACGCUGCUCCUACAUCCCACACACCAGCCCCAGGCAGCCAGGCACGCUUCCAGAGAGGAACAGCACCAGACACUGUUUUGAGCAAUCCCCUGAAGAAGCAGAUGUGAUCCCUGAGACAGACCUCAAACAAGAGAACCAAAGAGAACAGGUUCUGAUGCCCAGGGAGGAGAGCAGUGGAUUUCCUGGGGCAGGCCUCUGGGGUGCCCAGCCAGCGGAGGGAGGCCGGACUGGGCCCUGCGUGCUCUCCUGGGCAUUCGCCAAGGCCUUGGUCCCCAGCCCAGCCUCCAGCCAGAGUCUGUCCCAGGGCUGUCACUAGGCAGCCUCCAGAUCCUCAGCCCGCCCUGGGGCGUCCCCUGCUCCCCGACGGAUAGAGUCAUCUGCCAAGGGGGAUCCCUGCCCCGGAGAAACUGGGAACUUGUGACACUUCCUGGGAGAGUUUUUAAAAAUCCUUAAAAACCACCCUCUCUCUUCCUGGCCCCAGGGCACCCUGGGGAACUGCCCAACCUCCUGGGGAGUCCCCAGCCCAGCCCACCUGAGUGAGUUUUUCAGAAAGAGAUGCGAUUUUCCCUGGCCAUCCCCGCUGCACACCCAGCUGAGCCCUCUCCUCGGAGCCCCGGGCCCUUCUGGGCCCGUUGUCCCCAUUCUCUGGAUAAGACCUCGAGGUGACCCGGGCAGACCCUGACUGCUGAGACGGGGCAGUCCCUCAGGGCCUGACAGUUGUCCCAGGCAGACUGGAGGCAUCCCAGCCUCACGCCCCACCAAGUUGUGGUCCCAGGGGGUCUCUGAGGUCCAUUCCUCACCCGGGCCCACAGUAGCCCACUGGGAGUGGCUGGUGGCCUGCCCGAGUCACCUGGAGGCCAAGGGAGCUGGCCCGGGACAGAGGCCUGAGAAGCUGGGUGACAGGUUGAACCAAGUGGGGUGGGGUCAGCCGCACUUCAAGUUCAGGCCAAGCGGGGUUCUGGAGGCUCCUGGGCCCAGCACCCCAAAGUGCUGGCAAACACACCUGCAUGAAUGGCACAGACAGGAGGCUGCGUGGACCCUACACCUUGGGCCUCUGUCUUGGGGCUGUGCAAAGGGGCAGGGAGCAUCUGGCUCCCAGGGGGCCGGGGGCAGUCAGUGACCUGGGCUCUCAAGUCUCAGGCCCAGGGCUGGGCGCCCAUGGCUGUGGUCGCCGUUGGGACACAGCCCCUUCCUGGCUGGUGGCCUUGCUCCUGAACCUUCCCUGCCUGGGCCGGGGGCUCAGAAAUGCCCUGGGAGCUGGGGGCAGGGGCAGUGGAAGUGCUGGGGGCUGCCCCUCCUGGAGGAAGUGAAAGGGGAACGAGCAGGAGGGGAGGGAGGUGUUGGGAGCGUGCCGGCGGGUGGGGCCAGGGCUGACUCACAGCCACAGCUCACCCACCUCAGGGUGCAGCCCGGCCACCCCGUCCACAGGAGGACGAGGGGAGGACAGAGUCCCCGAGGGCCCACCGCGAGCGGAGCCAAGCCGAGCCUGUGUCACCACGCAGAAAGUUCACCCCGCCCCACCCCGGCCAGGCAGGAAUCUCCCCAUUUCUCAGACAAGCCAACUGAGACCAGUGAGAGCCAGAGACCCGGCCUAGCAGUUAAUAGCCUGCGAUUCUCAGAAUGCACCAGAGCCUGGUGUGGGGUCAAGGCCCCUGGCCAGGCUCAAAGGGGCCGGCUGUGUCCCUGAGGCCCCAGCUGGGGAAACUGAGGCUCAGAGUGGCCAGUGGGCAGUGCAGAGCUGGGCUCCCUCCCUGGUGCCCAGGGCCCCACGUGGGGCCAGUCCUCAGCUGACGCCACUCCUCCAGCCUGGGGCCUGGGGCCCGGGCCCGGCCAAGUGGAAACCCGAUCGGCUCCCCCACGUAGCUGCGGAGCCAGGCCCUCCUGGGCCAGAAAUCUCAGCCGCCCGCUGGGCUGGCCAGAAACCUGAGCCUGCCCUGCGGCCAGAGCUUCAGUGCUGCCAGGGAUACAGAGGGGGGACCAAGCCCGGGCUGCACUGUCCGCUGGAGACACAGUCCUGACCCCGUGAGACUGGUUCUGUGCGAGCCCAGAGAAGCCCCAGCCACGGGCGUGGGUUUGGCAGGUCAGGCAGGGAAGGGGUUCCCUGGCACAAGGGCCGCUGGGGGGGACGGGGGCAGCAGGCAGGGCCCUCCCCCCUCCAUUUCCCAGGUCACUAGGGAAUGACUGGGGCUGUCACAUUCACUCACCUGGGCUGCUGAGACCCAUAGCCCUGGGGACACACAGAUGGACCUGAGGACACACGUGCCCACAGCUGGGACCAAGAACACAGGGUGGGGCUUGGUCCAGACCCAGGCAGGACUCAGCAAUAAACGCACUGCACACAGUGGGGCCACAUGCCAUGCCCUCUUAGCAAAGCCAGUGUGAAGGAGGCCCCUGAGCAGGCGGGGAGCCCCAGGAGAGAGCGUGCCAUCCACAAAGCAGGACUCGGUUCUUUCUCACCCCUGGAUGUCCUUGGAAAGUGACAAGGCAUCUCUGGGCCAACCGGGGACAGCAAGACCCUGCGUGGAUGACGCCGUCUGGCUGGGCCUCCCGGGCCUUUGAGGGGCCUGUCCCAGACAGCCUGGAAGCUGGCCAUCACCUGCCUACCUAUCAACAGGGAAGCCGAGGCCAGAGAUGGGCAGAGCUUACCCAGCGCCACAGAGCACAUGUGGCAGGCUGGGGUCCCGGCCUGAGGGCUGGGGGUUGGCCUUUUGUGUGCAGCCAGGACAGCAAGGACAAGGCCAGGUUUUCCGCGGGGAGAGCCAGGCUGGUCCGUCCAGCACAGGACAGGCCCCCACUCCACUUAGCCAAGAGGCAUGAUGGCUCUAAAGCCUGACCUGGGGAGUUGCCAUGGUGGCUCAGUGGGUUAAGAACCAGACUAGUAUCCAGCAGGACGUGGGUUCCAUCCCUGGCCUGGCUCAGUGGGUUAAAGGUCUGGCAUGGCUGUGAGCUGCAGCAUAGGUCGCAGACACGGCUGGGGUCUGGCAUGGCUGUGGCUGUGGCGUAGGUCGGCUGCUGCGGCUCUGAUUUGACCCCUAGCCUGGGAGCUUCCAUAUGCCAUGGGCGCGGCCCUAAAAAGACCAAAAAAAAAAAAAAAAAAAAAAGAAUUGGAUGGAAAGUUCUCAGUGCUCAGCUCCAAAGUCUCUCUGCUUGGACACAGGCAAGCUGGUUGGGAGUCUGUGGCCUUGGCAGACUAGCUCCCCUUCAUCACAGAGCCGCAGGGAGGGGACAGAUGCGCCAGCAGACGUGCUUGAGCAGAGCCUGCCCAGGGUGAGUACAGGGUGGCCGUGCAGGCGACUCGGGCCAGGAUCGCCCUGGCCCUGUGACAUGAAGGCCAUGGGACCACGUCUCGUCCCAGGCUUGCUGGAGGCUACAGGACCUGGGAGGGGCUCCAACAGGGGACAGCAGAGGCGGUGCACCCUGACCCCCCGGAGCCCCGUCUCAGUUGGUCCCCUCCAUCCUGGGCCAGCUCCCAGAGGAGGGGCCGUGAAGCCCUGGGGGAAAGACCUUCCGCUGUGUGUGUGUGUGUGUGUGCGCAUGCACACGUACUCAUGUGUUGUGUGCGCCUCUCCCGUGCCUGUCACACAUGAAGCAGGGCCCAGGAGGGGUGGGUGCUGAGGAGGGCGAGUGGGUGGCCACCACCUUCUCCUUCACGUCCUUCUGGGUUGUUCUUCCCGCAGAGAAUCCCGACACAGCGUUUGAGCAAGAAAGAGAGCGGCAAAGCGAGGAGAGAGGUGAGCAAAAGCCCUAAAGGGGCAUUUUAGACAAGAGGCCACGCGAAUCUUCGCAUGGCCAGGAAAGACAAAAGGAGCUCAACACCACGGGUCAUGCGGGAAAUGCAAAUAAAACCACGGCGAGAUACCACU